rnacentral:rRNA from 1 species
GACGAACGCUGGCGGCGUGCUUAACACAUGCAAGUCGAACGGUAAGGCCCUUCGGGGUACACGAGUGGCGAACGGGUGAGUAACACGUGGGUGAUCUGCCCUGCACUUCGGGAUAAGCCUGGGAAACUGGGUCUAAUACCGGAUAGGACCCUGGGAUGCCUGGCCUGGGGUGGAAAGCUUUUGCGGUGUGGGAUGGGCCCGCGGCCUAUCAGCCUGUUGGUGGGGUGAUGGCCUACCAAGGCGACGACGGGUAGCCGGCCUGAGAGGGUGACCGGCCACACUGGGACUGAGAUACGGCCCAGACUCCUACGGGAGGCAGCAGUGGGGAAUAUUGCACAAUGGGCCCAAGCCUGAUGCAGCGACGCCGCGUGAGGGAUGACGGCCUUCGGGUUGUAAACCUCUUUCAGCACCGACGAAGCGCAAGUGACGGUAGGUGCAGAAGAAGGACCGGCCAACUACGUGCCAGCCGCCGCAGUAA